ensembl:snRNA U1 U1 spliceosomal RNA
ACAUUUUCUUGGCUGGAGAGAUACCAUGAUCACGAAAGUGGUUUUCCCAGGGUGAGGAUUAUCCAUUGCACGCACAAUGUGCUGAUCCCUGCAAUUUCCCCAAAUGUAGGAAACUUGGCUACACAAUUUGUGGCAC